CAAGUCGUGGGGCAGCGCGGGUAGCAAUACCUGGCGGCGACCGGCAAACGGGUGCGGAACACGUACGCAACCUUCCUUUAACUGGAGAAUAGCCCCUCGAAAGAGGGAUUAAUACUCCGUAACAUAUUGAUAAGGCAUCUUAUUAAUAUUAUAGCUCCGGCGGUUAAAGAUGGGCGUGCGCCUGAUUAGAUAGUUGGCGGGGUAACGGCCCACCAAGUCUGCGAUCAGUAACUGGUGUGAGAGCACGACCAGUCACACGGGCACUGAGACACGGGCCCGACUCCUACGGGAGGCAGCAGUAAGGAAUAUUGGUCAAUGGACGCAAGUCUGAACCAGCCAUGCCGCGUGGAGGAUUAAGGCCCUCUGGGUUGUAAACUCCUUUUAUCUGGGAAGAAAUGUUUCGAUUCUUCGGAACUUGACGGUACCAGAGGAAUAAGCACCGGCUAACUCCGUGCCAGCAGCCGCGGUAAUACGGAGGGUGCAAGCGUUAUCCGGAUUCACUGGGUUUAAAGGGUGCGUAGGUGGGCAGGUAAGUCCGUGGUGAAAUCCCUGAGCUUAACUCGGGAACUGCCAUGGAUACUAUUUGUCUUGAAUAUUGUGGAGGUAAGCGGAAUAUGUCAUGUAGCGGUGAAAUGCUUAGAUAUGACAUAGAACACCAAUUGCGAAGGCAGCUUACUACACAGUUAUUGACACUGAGGCACGAAAGCGUGGGGAUCAAACAGGAUUAGAUACCCUGGUAGUCCACGCCCUAAACGAUGAUUACUCGACAUCAGCGAUACACUGUUGGUGUCUGAGCGAAAGCAUUAAGUAAUCCACCUGGGAAGUACGAUCGCAAGAUUGAACUCAAAGGAUUGACGGGGGUCCGCACAGCGGUGGAGCAUGUGGUUAAUUCGAUGAUACGCGAG
rnacentral:rRNA from 1 species